AAAACACACACAAUUCAACCUACUAAAAUUCUCUGAAACCCUAAAUCCCUCUACAUGUUUCUGUGAAAUCGAUCUUCCAUAUGAUCCAAUCCAUCUUCUUUGAUUCAAGUUUCUCUCACUUUACUUUUCAUUGCAAACCCUAGCCAAACCUCUGCAUCAUCAUCUUCUUCUUCUUCACACAAAUCAAUCCUGAUAACCAAUCAAAGGCCUUUGUAUCUGUAGGGAAGCAAGAAGGCAUUAAAGGCUACUGGAAGGGUAACUUUGCUCAGGUAGUUCGAGCUUAAGUCAAAGCAUGUAAUAUCACAAUCUAACUAUUUAAGGAAAUGGUGGUGAAGGGCUUAAGUCAUAAGGGUUAUAUCAUUGCACGAGACACUAAUGACGGAUUUUGAAAGCUGCAUUAUGGGUUUAGUUCAAAAGAGGUUUUGCCUCAACAUUGGUGUCAACCAGAGAUGGCAUUUUAAGAGGAACAAGUCAAAGAUAAAGCUGGUGAUUGAAGAACUUGAUGGAUAGAAAAAGGAGGCACUGAAUGUCAUAUGGGUGAGAAGUAAAUAGAAAUGAUGGGUAAAGAAGGGAGAAAUGAAGGGCCGCCAUACCAGCCUGAAUGAUGUGGUAUACAAAAUAGCAGUCCCUCGACGCACAUUGUUUGGAGCGGCAAACUUUUGUAACUCAAAUUAAAUAUAUAGUUAAGCUUACAUAUGUACUGAAGCAUUUGUACACUGACUCAAAUGUAGUUGUUCUUGCUAUUAUCGAUAUACUCCAGAUCACUCUCAUAGUUGUAGCUUCGGUUGGAAGUACCGGAGGAAUUAAUAAUGAUGCUGCCACUUCAAUGAUGCAAAUGUUUUGGGAUUUUGCGAUAGCAGCACCACCUGCAGAUGAUGAUAGUGAAGCCCGAUGGUAGUCAAGAUUCUUACAGAAAAAAAAGGUUGAUUUCAAGACUUUUGAUACACUCUCAGAUGAUAUGAUGAAGUAAGGCAAGGCCUAAUGAGGAAGGUUAACGAGCCAACGGUUCAAUGUAUCAGCCCAAGUAGUGGAUUUUGUCUCAAGUUUGGUUUCUUCUUUAGGGAUUAUAGCAAGAGCGUCAGUUGAAGCAUUGAGGGCAUAGAAACUUGAAGUGAUGGUAACUUGACCCACUGGCAGAACUGUAGCCGAUGAACCAAACAACUCCAUUUCAAUACCAAGGGCCGUUGUUAUAAAUAGAUUCAGGUAUGAAGUAUGACUAAAAAUUAAUGAAAAUGGUGAUAGAGAAAAUAGUUAAUUUUUAACCAGGAAUUGACUAAAUGAACCACUAAAAAGGGCCCAUUAGUUUCAUUAUUCGAGGUGACUGCAGGUGGAGGUGUAGCGGCUACUGGCGAUGGAGGUGUACAAUAUUUUUUUAUUCUUUAUUUAUGAAGUGUUGGAUAUUUAUAGGUUAGUUUUUAUAUACGGGGCCACAUGAAGUUGUCAAGGUUUUCACUGAGAUGCUUAAAGAUCGUAUCUUUGAGUUGAGCUCUACUCGAUGUCCUCAUCAAGUAUGUUUCAAUCUUAUUGUAACACCCCGUAUUAUGAAAGUCAAAGUCAAAGGAAGAAAAGAUUGCUAAUUGCGAUCUGUCGCUCCUUGCUUAACUGUUGACUUUACUACAUUGACUUGUGAUCGAAUCUUUUAUUUUGUUUGCUUUAGUUGUAUUAU